AAGAAAGGAAGGAAAGGGGUUUUGAGGAAAAUUAUGUCUGAAACAGGGAAAGAGACAGAGAGGGAGUCAGCUUAGAACAAGUUCGGACACACACACACACACACACACAGAGAACGCGAGAACUUUAGGAAGAGCUAGGCAAUGAGGGAGAUCACGGAACAGAGUCAGGCAAGUCGAGAAGACAUCAUUUGAGUGGAAGAGUUUAGCUCGUUUUUAUGGUAACGGGAGCCAAGGAGACCAAGACCAUACACUUAGAAGGCUCGACUCGUUGAGUUAUCAUUUUGGGGGUCUUUCCAUGGGACCGCUACAAAAAGGGACGCCUAUACCACUGAUCCAACGGGAUAUAAAAUGGAUGCCUAGACUCCUACUGUCGAAGGAUAACGGGCAGCCCCCGUUUAUGAGAAAUAAAAUGAGGAAUUUGUGGAUAAUGAGUUCGGGGUCAAGAUGAGUUAGAAGCUAGACUCAUAGCACGAGAGAAUCUUUUUGGACAUCGGGAAUCAGUAUGAAGGAUUUUGCAGCUAAACCUACUCGUAGUAUAGGUAGUAAGUUCAUGUAGAAUGUUAUAAAUAUGUUACGACCUCAAACUUUUUGUUAAGUUGAUUUACUGAUGUUGGUAAGAAAGAGUACUGUCUUGAGAUGUAUAUAAAUAUUAGAGGUUGUUGCAUUGGUUAUAUAUAUUUGGGAGUCUAUGGAAAGCAUGCUCUUAUAUGAA